CAUGAUUCAAUUUCACCACUACCUACUAGCUUCCCAACCCAGCUCUUGCCCAAAUACAAUACAAUCCAAUAUAUCUUAUUCUACUCUUCUUUUACCAACCACAUGUUCAUCUGAAUUAGAACUAUCGAUCUACAAGAUGAAAGGACAUUAAGAAGCGCGGCCAUGGCAACUUUUUUGAAUCUUUUCAUUCAGCCUCUCAUAGUCUCACUCAUGUCACUCUGACCCCUCGACAAGACCACACCGACGCCACCUUCAAUCUUCCUUUCAUCAACAUCUUCAGCGGCCAACAGCGCAGGCAGCAGUGAUUCAUUUUUGGAAGAAGAAAGAAGGUGAACAAGAACCACUGAAUCAUGAACAGGUGAAGCCCGAAGCCUAAAGCCCUCUCGUCGAACUUUUAUUUUUAUUUGUUAUUUUAAUUUGAUUUCAACCUAAAGUCAAGAUGAGUUAUGUACCAAUGUUGUGAUUCUUAUGAAAUUCAUUUGCUGAAUUGUGGGUAAUAAAACUCAAACUCAGAAGCUUCUGGAGCGACGGAGCCUUAAGCCUAGAGUUAAUACCUAAUCGGAUGUCGUCUCUGCUCCUUCGUCCGGGGUGUAUUCAAUAGGAUGUUUUGCUUAGGUUAGACACCAACCUAUCGAUUUAAAAUUGUUUAUCAAUUAUCAGUUUUGUGAGUUACAGUCAACAUAUGGGUUGUGAUUUGGGAACUAAAUUGAACAUUUUGAGAGUAUUUUGCUUAAUUUUAGGCAUAGGUUGUUUUGGGCUUCACUUGCUUUUGCUUCCAGUUACUUGUUUUUGUUUUCAAUUACUUGAUAAUGACGUUGUUGUAAAACGAUAUCAAAGCA
rnacentral:lncRNA from 1 species